UAGCAACUGUAGUACCAUCUUUUGGAUAAACCAGUUUAUAACGGCUAUAUUUUCCACUGGCUAAUUUCUUUUUAUUAUUAUAGUGCGAACACAACAUUUCAAUUGCCUUUACUUCAUAUUUGUUUUCACCUGCAGGCUGGGAUCUGUAAGCUUGUGUUCAGGAGCAGGGUGCAGAGGGCCGGUGGCAGAAAGCAGACCUCCUAAUGCAGUUUGCAGAGUGGCUGUACGGUCAGAACCAGCCUCUCCAGACAACCCAGCACCACCUCCACUGGGCCGUAGACCUGCUGCUGCAGCUGGACCCUGAACUGGCCCAGGAGACAGAGGACCUAUCCAAGGACAGUGGCCCCGCUGACCCCUUGGGGCCGGAUCCCUCCUUACAGGCGGAGGUCAGGGGGGCCUUGGCUCCAGUCCGUCUACGCCGCGGGGGGUGAGGCGUCUGGACGGGUGGAUCAGAGCGCACACCCUGCUGGGCUUCAUGGAGCCCAGGACCUCCCCGGGUCACCAGGAGAACCUGCUCCGGGCCUACGUCUUCGUCCUGCGCACCUGGAACGUGUCCAUGGCAACAGUGCGUGAGGUCCUUAACGAGAUGGCGAAGGCUCCGCCGGUGGAGCCCCCCAGCUCUGCUGCCUCCAGGAAGGAGGAGAGUGUGGUGCGAGAGGCAAGGGGAAGAAGACCAAAGAGGCACAGCAGACCCCCGUGACCCGCACUGGGGUUGGCCAGAUGGAGGGGAUCGGCUUAUUGGCACAGGGCGACCAAUCUGGAAAUGCAAUGAAACAAGGCCCGUCUGCUGGCCCCUCUCCUGCAUCGCUGAGGCCCCGUUCAGCAGCCCACUGCUAGUAGCGCUGCUCCUCCUUCAGCCUCUGAGCCACCUUCUGCUGCCGGCGUUCAGCCCGGUAGAUUUUCAUCCUCAUCUGCUCUCCUUCAGCCAUCGAGAGCUUUGUACUGAGCAAAGCUGCCUGACGUUUAUAAGCUUCUGCGGAACAACAUGGACACGUAAGAAGAUUUAGAAGAAUUCAAGAGCAUGUGCCACACACCACAACAUCCCGAGGGGCAUCAUGAAAUGUUUUGGAUUGCACAGUUAGCCAAGGUUAUUCAAAAGGACUCGCUGCUGGAGAUGAGGUGUUCCUCCAUGUCCUCCUUCAGGUAGGUCCCGGCGUUCCUCUUAUUGUUUGGCUCCUUCUCCUUCACCACACUGAGCCAAUUGAGGAAUCUCCACCCGAGGCUCUUUCUUUGGGCUCCUGUACAGGUUCCUCCCCUUCUUCGUCAGGCAUGUCCGAGAUUUCAUCGUUGUUCGGGGGGGCCACAGGUUCUGUACAGCCCAUGAAGACAAAAGAUUUCUCCUCGAUCUCUACUACACCUGGCAGGGCAGCGGCUGGCGGUUGAUCCUGGUUGAGGAUCAAGACCACGGCGUCAAUGGGACGUUGACAGACGACAACGUGGUGGUUGCCAUUGUCAGUUGGCAUCUCCAGCUCUAACGCAUCCUCCUCAGCCUCCAAGACCCCCGGUGUCCUCACCAUCUAGGACACAACAAACAGCGUAUGUUAAAACAGGAUACCACACUGUUGAUUAGGGAUGCACCUGCAUCAACCCACAUGUGCAUACCUUUGGUUCUGUGUGUGUGUGUGUGUGUGAGUUCAGGUGCAUGAUUGAGAUAUUAUGUGUGACAUUAAGUUAAUACAAUAAGCACAAGGGACUGAGAAGCGGUGACUUAUAUAGGGGAGCGGGGCCUCGUGAUGUCAUAGAGGUUCCGCUGGCCAGAGACGUAACAUGGUGUAGCCACGGUUACCGGAUUGUUUUGUGUACAUUCUUUUGAAAACUGCAAAGAUAUGCUGAAGUCUAAAUCAGUCAUUUGGAUGUUUUAUCCGUGGAUAACGUUUACAUUUUUUUACAUGAACAUAUUUAUAUAUAUUUUUUAGCUGAUAGUACUGAUAGUAAAUGUGGUCAAUCGUGUGUGUGUGUGCGUGUGUGUGAGCACGCCUUUGAAAAAAGUGCAUCUGCACACUUAAAGUUUGUGUGUGCGGAUCGUACCGGUGUCCUCUCCCUCAGCUCGCCCUCCUGGUGGAGUCUCUCCUGGUAGAGACCCUCUGGUUGGAGACCCUCCUGGUGCAGACCCUCUGGUUGGAGACCCUCUGG